rnacentral:rRNA from 1 species
UACGUAGGGUGCGAGCGUUAAUCGGAAUUACUGGGCGUAAAGCGUGCGCAGGCGGUUUUGUAAGCCAGAUGUGAAAUCCCCGGGCUCAACCUGGGAAUGGCAUUUGGGACUGCAAGGCUGGAGUGCGGCAGAGGAGACUGGAAUUCCUGGUGUAGCAGUGAAAUGCGCAGAUAUCAGGAGGAACACCGGUGGCGAAGGCGGGUCUCUGGGCCGUAACUGACGCUGAGGAGCGAAAGCGUGGGGAGCAAACAGG